UACGUAGGUGGCAAGCGUUGUCCGGAUUUAUUGGGUUUAAAGGGUGCGUAGGCGGUCCUAUAAGUCAGUGGUGAAAUACGGCAGCUCAACUGUCGAGGUGCCAUUGAUACUGUAGGACUUGAGUACAGACGAGGUAGGCGGAAUUGACGGUGUAGCGGUGAAAUGCUUAGAUAUCGUCAAGAACACCGAUAGCGAAGGCAGCUUACUAGACUGUAACUGACGCUGAGGCACGAAAGUGUGGGGAUCAAACAGG
rnacentral:rRNA from 1 species